CCUCUAAGAUAUUUAGGCUGCAUUUGGUUGGAGUGCAAAUGCUGAACCGUUACAAAUUUGUAAGACAGAGGAGAACGGCGAACUGCGUAGAAACGGAGUAGAACGACUUGAAUCUGUAAUCCCCAUAUUCUUGAAAAUCCAAGAUAGGUAAGUCUGAUAUUUUGUUGCUCUUUUUUUUUUUUCUUUUUGUUUUUCCGUUUUCAGGUCAUCUACAUUGCUAGAAGAGAGUUCUUCGUUUUCACAGAGUAUCCUAAGGCGGCCAAAACCCUUGCAGAACAACUGAACUGCAGUGCAGAUGAAGCAGCAGAAAAAAAUUGAAAGCUUUAAGUGUUCUUUUCCUGGUGUUGCUUCCUGGCUGAGUGAAGCUGUUGCAUCUUGCCAUCAAAAAGGCUAUGUGGAGGCCCUUUAGGGAAGGAAAUGUUUCUUAUCAAAAAUUAAGUUACGGAAUAGCAAAGAAAAAGCUAAAGCUCGAGGCAGGCUGUGAAUUCAAUUUGUCAGGGUUCUGCUGCUGACAUAAUCAAGAUUGCAAUGAUAAAUAUUCACACUGUGAUUGUCGAGGGAUGUGAAAAGCCUAAUUCAAGCUUUGAAUUUGCAAAACUAUUUCCCAUGCUUAAAGGUCACUGUUGAAUUCUUUUGCAGGUACAUGAUGAGUUAGUGUUGGAAGUUGAUCCUUUGGUAAUAGGGGAGGCUGGAUUAUUGCUACAGUUAAGCAUGGAAAAUGCUGAAUCGCUUCUAGUUCCUUUGCAGGUCAAACUGAAGGUUGGAAGAACCUGGGGUUCUUUGGAGCCUUUCCAGGUGGAGCAAUACAAAGAAAAAAUUCCUUAUAUAGCAUUCUUGAAUUACACAAAGAAAUGCCUUUCAUCAUCAGUUGGCAUUCAAAUGCUAGAGGAACUCUCAAAUGGAGGGGGAAGUGGCAAAUUUAUGCUGGUAGGUCAAAAAAUUCAUUGUCACAUGCAUGAGAAGAGCUGCCUGUACCAACAACCUCUACCUUCAUUUAGAAGUCAUCUAGAAGGAUGAUUCAUGAAAGAAAUUGGGUGCAAAGUUCAUUUCCUCUUAUGUGGAAGAGUUAAAUUUACUUCCAUACAGGCCUUGAUUAUAAUGCUUGGUUUGAACUGCAAUUGCUGAGUUGUCCAAGAGCUCAUUGUUGGGAUCUUCAGAAAUGCACUCAGCAAGAGAUUUGCUAGAUUUUGUAACUUCAGAAAGAAGUCUUUAACAAAAGGAUUUUUGUACUUGCACAUGGAAAGCAAACAAUUUGAGUGGAUGCUCUCAAUGUCACUUUGUGAAUUUUAGAGACAUCGCUGCUUCUGAAAAAGACAAAUCUUGUGUGGAUGACAAGUUUUGUUGCUCUUGCUUGUCACAUUGUGCCAGUCACAACGGUUACUAUGGAGGCAGGUACAGAACAAUUCUGACAAUGUUCAGGUUCAGUGUAGAAGGAACAUGUGAAAGGAGUACUGAAGGUUGCAAAAAAAAUUCAAAUUGGGUUAUACCUGAUAGGUGAUUGAAUCUAUGAACAACUGAGACAUGGUAGCCAAGGGUACCCUGGGGUCUUGUGCACAAAGUACUGCCAAUGGGUAAUGUUGGUAGAAGGAUCGUCUUGUUUUCAUGUUCAACAUUGUCAGGGAACAAAAAGAUGCUGUUAUAACAACCACAGGAAACAUUGAAUAUCAUGAACAUGUGGCUUAUGAGGUUUUGGGCUUUAUCUUUUUAGUAACACUGCAGUAUCAAAUCAGCAAAGAGAAUAAUCAACAGAUGAGAAUUUUUUUGAAGAGUUUGGUGGCUCAGGAAUCAGCAGUCAGCAUGAGAAUAAUCAACAGUGAUUAUUCAUGGUUAUUGUCGUGGUUUCAGGAUGUUUCUGUUGCGAUGGAGCUUGAAAGCUGCAUUCUUUGAAGAGACGAGUGAAGUUGUUGCCAGGCAGACAUAAUUUUGUGUUGCUUUCUGAAAAUCUAUAGACAAGCUGCCUGGAUUGAACAUUCUCUUUGUAUGUGAUUUAUCAGAUUCUUUAUUUACAGUUCUCAUGUGGUUGAAAUUCUUAGAUUCUUUUCCCCCUUUGUUUUUUUAAAUUCUUUUUUAGUUUUGUCGUCUAGUCUUCGUCACCGGUAAGGAGGAAGCUGGCAUUCUUUGUAUUUGCUGCUCUGGUUCCUCUUUUCUUGACACUCAUGCUUUCCAAGAGGAGAAUUGCUCCUGAGAGAUCAACUUCCAUCUGCUACAACCACAGGCAGUUUCAGCUACAACAUUAAUCUAUUAUUUUUAUAUUGAUUUAAUGGUUUGUUAUUUUUUAUAUUUGUUUAAUGGUGGGAGUAUCUGAACAUCAUCUGGUA